rnacentral:lncRNA from 1 species
AUUUAAAAAAAUAAAUAUUGUGUAAUAAAACUGCAUAAACCUAAUGUCAAGUUAAAGUGUACUGUUAGCUAGCUAAAGUUAGCUGUCUAGCUCGCUAGCUAAGUGUAUGUUCUCCACUUUCUGGAGGACCGAGUUUUGAAAUCAGUGAAAUUUGAGUAUGAUAGCUAAGGAGAUGGAGAAAAUACCAGUCUGGAUUACAUCGUCAAACUAAGGCAACCAUGCAUGGCAUCAGACAGGAGACCCGUCCAACCAUGAUGUAUACUGAUGCAGUGACGUAUCUAUGGAUGCAGUGACGUAUCUAUGGAUGCAGCGACGUAUCUACGGAUGCAGUGACGUAUCUACAGAUGCAGUGACGUAUCUGCGGAUGCAGUGCCGUAUCUAUGGAUGCAGUGACGUAUCUACGGAUGCGGUGACGUAUCUACAGAUGCAGGGACGUAUCUAUGGAUGCAGUGCCGUAUCUAUGGAUGCAGUGACGUAUCUACAGAUGCAGGGACGUAUCUACUGAUGCAGGGACGUAUCUAUGGAUGCAGGGACGUAUCUAUGGAUGCAGUGAUGUAUCUACGGAUGCAGUGACGUAUCUACGGAUGCAGUGACGUAUCUACGGAUGCAGGGACGUAUCUAUGGAUGCAGUGAUGUAUCUACGGAUGCAGUGACGUAUCUACGGAUGCAGUGAUGUAUCUACCGAUGGCAGUGACGUAUCUACGGAUGCAGUGACGUAUCUAUGGAUGCAGGGACGUAUCUACAGAUGCAGAACAAAUAGACUAAUCCAAUGCAGCAGUGGUGUGUGGGUG